rnacentral:rRNA from 1 species
ACAGCAGGUCGCUCGCCCACACACUGUCAAGUUCAACUCCCCGCUCCGCUCCCCCAAAGAUUCCAAAUUUUCCCAAAUCGCUCGCCUCAAUCGCCCGCGCCCCCGCCGAAUCCCCAGAUCCCCACCUCCUCCCGCGCGCCCCGCCCCCCAGCUCCGCCCAAUUCUAGGGUUAACCGCCCGUACGCCAGCUCCCCACCGCCAGAUUAGGGUUUCCAUUUCGCAUUCCGCCCUCCCGGAGCUCGCGGUUCCGGGCGAUUGGAGCCGGAGGGGAGCGUCCGGCCGCGGCGAGCUGCGGGUUCACUCUCCCUAGGGCCUGGAUUUCCGGCGGCAGGGGGGAUGUCGUGAACGCCGGAGCUUGCUUGCUCUUCCCCGUCCGUCGGGGAGCUGAGGUGAGCUGAGCUGAGCUCAGGCUAGGCUAGGCUAGGGUUUCGUGCUCCGUUCCGUCUGAGUGCUGCGGAGGGGAGCCGGAGAUGUUCUACUCCCAGUUCAUCUUGGCCAAGAAGGGCCCGCUCGGGACCAUAUGGAUCGCCGCGCACUUGGAGCGUAAGUUGCGCAAGAACCAGGUCACGGACACGGACAUCGGCGUCUCCGUAGAUUCAAUUAUAUUCCCUGAGGUUCCAAUUGCGCUGCGGUUGUCCAGCCAUCUUAUGGUAGGCGUGGUCAGAAUCUAUUCUCGGAAGGUCAACUACUUAUUUCAUGAUUGCAGUGAAGCCUUGCUCAAGAUAAAACAAGCAUUUAGGUCUGCGGCUGUUGAUCUCCCCCCUGAAGAAUCAACUGCUCCAUAUCAUUCUAUAACACUCCCUGAGACAUUCCAUCUUGAUGAUUUUGAGUUACCGGAGGCUGAGUUUCAGGGGGACAUUGAUCAUCAUGUAAGCUCAAAAGAACAGAUUACCCUGCAAGACAACCCAGAGAGAACAGGAUAUUCAACAUCUGAAUUUGGUUUAGAUGAAAGAUUUGGUGAUGGCAGUUCUUCACAUAUGGGUUUCGAUUUGGAGGAGGAAUUAUUGCUGGCGAAGGAUGAUCCAAUUCAACUCGAAUCUGGUGAUGGUAUCCUCAUUCAAGGUCAAUCAUCACUUCAUCCUACUGAUAUGGAUGUUGACGAUAACCCAAGUAAAGAUGAAGAGGCUGAAGCAUAUAACAAAAUGGAUGAUGAACCUUCUAGUUCCAGCAAGCAAAAUCAAUCGAAUGCAGAUGAUUUAAGAAACAAUAUUCCUAACUGGACUGGUUACAAUUUGCGUACCCCUGAUUUGAAUGAUAUGCUUUUCCACAAUGAAGGUGACGCGGGGCCAUCUUCUUCAUACUACCAGCCUAGUCCCUUCCCUUGUGAUGAUCCUGCAUCUCCUGCCUCUCCUGCCUCUCCUGAGUUUGUAAGCGCUCAAGCCCCGGCUACACCUGGCUUAAUGGAAGAAACAGUUCCUUCCAGAGUGCAUGAAAGUCCUGUUCUGAGUCCGCAGCGGAAAGCUUCACCAUCAAGCAACGAGGAAACUGCAAAGAUCGACAAUUUUGCUGCUCCGCCCUCAGAUUUUCUCCAUUCAGCUGCAGCAAAUGCUAAUGAUGCUGGGAUGGCUGAAUUUGGAUUGGCUAAGCCUGUGCAAGUUGAGUCUUCUGGUGCCGCACAGGAGAAUCCUGCCGCUCCAUCCUCAGAUUUUCUCCAUUCAGCUACAGCUAAUGCUAAUGAUGCUGUUGGUGCUGAGAUUGCUGAGUUUAGCUUGGUUAAGCCUGUGCAAGUUGAGUCUUCCGAUGCAGCACAGGAGAAUCUUGCCGCUCCAUCCUCAGAUCUUUUCCAUUCAGCUGCAGCAAAUGCUAAUGAUGCUGUUAGUGCUGAGUUUGCUGAAUUUGGAUUGGCUAAGCCUGUGCAAGUUGAGUCUUCUGGUGCUGUAGCUCCACCCUUGGAUUUUCUCCAUUCAGCUGCAGUAAAUGCUAAUGAUGCUGUUGGCGCUGAGAUGUCUGCAUAUAGAUUGACUAAUCCUGUGCAAGAGAAUUUUGCUGCUCCACCCUCAGGUUUUUUCCAUCCAGGUGCAGCACAUGCUAAUGAUACUGUUGGUCCUGAGAUGACUGAAUUUAGAUUGGCUAAUCCUGUGCAAGUUGAGUCUUCUGGUGCUGUACAGCAUAAUUUUGCUGUUCCACCCUCAGAUUUUCUCCAUCCAGGUGCAGCACAUGCUAAUGACGCUGUUGGUUCUCAGAUGGCUGAAUUUAGAUUGUCUGAGCCUGUGCAAGUUGAGUCUUCUCGUGCUGUACGGGAGAUGGAUUUUCUGAGGCAACACUCUGCAACUGUGGAUAUGCCACCAGAACCACAAACAUCAAACCUGGUGGCUACUGUUGAUAAAUUGGUGGUAAAUACUGAGGAUAUAGCUGUAUCAGGUCAAACACUGCCUUUUAAAGCAACCAUGGGAAGUGUGCCAUUUGUUCAGAAUACUUCAGAGCCACGCGCUAAUGGUUCUACCGAGACAUACAUGACAGGGAAUCCAACACAUUUCAAUGAGGGGUCAGUAAACAACAUGCAAGGGUAUAAUUUUCUUACUUCUAAUGUAUCUGUAGAGCCAUACCCUAGUGGUUCUACCGAGCCAUGGGUGACAGGGCAACAACAACAAAGCUUCUUGUCCCAAGCAAGUUGGGGUAGGCCUAGUGGUCCUACCGAGCCACACGUGACAGGGCAUCCAACACAUUUUAAUGAGGGAUCAGUAAAUGUGCAAGGGUAUAAUCUGCAUGCUCCUAAUGUGUUUCUCGGACAUAACUUACAAGAAAUGCCACCAGGAAUGACACACAGUAAUAUAUCAACUGCAGCUUUCCAACAGAACACUGGAACAACACCGCAAUACAUGUCAUAUAAUGAUAGACCAAAUGACAUGUUCAACUCACAUUUCCCAGAACGCGAGAGAAUGCUCUCAGCUCCAUAUAUUGGAUUCCACCAGACAAAUGAUCUGGGGCAGUUAACUGCAGAGAAAGGAAUCACUGAAUCUGAUGGAAGUAACAAAAUAGGUAGCCUUAGUAGCAGAAAACGUCACUUGGAGGAUAGCAUGCCAGCUCCAGAGAGUAGGACUACUGAAAAUUUGUCCAGCAGACCACAUGGUCAAAGAACCACCGAUGCUAUUCCUAACGAUGAUGAUAUACUGGCAUCCAUUUUAGUUGGUAGAAGAACCCCUGGAUUGGUGCUUGAUUCAACACCAUUACCACCUAAUGCAUCAACUUCAAAACGCCAAAGGUUGACACCGAAGACCGCAUUGACACCCAAGACCAGGACACCCAAGAGAAGAGUGAAAAUGGAUGAUGCCAUGGUUAUACAUGCUGAUAUUAUACGACAGCAGUUGAUUAGUACUGAGGAUAUAAGGCGCAUCCGUAGAAAGGCUCCAUGCACCCGUACUGAAAUAUGGAUGAUCGAGAAAGGUUCACUUGAAGAUGAUAUAUUCCGCGAGCCUAUAUUUUCCUGUAUGCACAAGGACCUGAACGAUUUACACUAUCGAACCUAUGAGUCUGUUUCUCAAUUCACCGUACAUAACAGGGAACAUCAACGACAAGUAGACAUGUCUGAAACUAUCCCAGCAGAUAACAGCAAUGUUGGCAUCUCUGGUGCAGAGGAAAGUGCAGCUCUUGAUCACCAACUUCAUAUGGUGCUACCAGAUACCAACAACGUUGACAUCUCUGGUGCAAAGGACAGUGCAGCUCCUCAUGACCAACUGAAUAUGGGACUACCAGAUGGAGCUCACAACGUUGGCAUCUCUGGUGCAAAUGACACUGCAGCUCAUGAUCACCAACUAAACAUGGGACUACCAGAUGGAGCUCACAACGUUGGUAUCUCUGGUGCAAAUGACAGUGCAGCUCUUGAUCUGGGACUACCAGAUGGAGCUCACAACGCUGGCAUCUCUGGUGCAAAUGACAGUGCAGCUCUUGAUCACCAACUUCAUAUGGGACUACCAGAUGGUGCUCAAUUAGAUGCUACACCACAAGAAGCAACUGAUACAGUUGACGCUACAGCUUCAUUUGGUUUGCAAAUGCCAUCUGAUGAACGUGAUAACAACAUUGAAAAAGUAACUGAGUUUGGUGCCGGGAAAGAAAUCCCACUUGUUGACGAAACAAAUGCUGCUGCAAACAUUACUGCUCAUGUUGAUACACUGGAUAAGGAUUGCCAUCAAGAUGCUUCAGCAGAUAUGCAGAGGAAUACAAAUGCUGAUACACCUCUCUUUGUACAAGAUGACAUAACCCAUGAUUCUGCUACUAUAACAGAUGCUCCAGACGUUGCUUUGCAUAGUUCUGGUCCAGCUUGUGCGCAAGACUACCGGGAAGGGGAAUUGAGUGACAUUGUUCGCAGUGAUAUUAAUACUUUUGAGGAUAAGGAGAUGCCCACCUCUGAGAUUACUGGACUAGAAUUCACUGAACAUGCCUCUGGUUUUCCUCAACCAACAGAGGAUGAGAAUGCUGUGUCGGCCAUGGGAGAAAAUUCUGGCUUUCAAGGAAACAAUGCAGGAUCCUUCACGGACAUGAACAACACGGAGCAUGACUUCACGGACAUGGACAACACUGGGCAUGACUUUGCACUGAAGGAAUGCAGUGAUUUUGGAAGUGCAAUUCAUGGUGUCGACACAGAUUUUCUACCCUAUGAUGAUGAUGGGGACUUUGAUGAGGCAAUUGAUCUUGAUGAUGAUGAUGAUGAGCCAAAUCCUGACGAAUUCCAGUCUCAUGAUGCACUUAGUGGCUGGUCUUCUCGUACCAAGGGUGUUGCAAGAUAUCUCAAGACUCUAUUCGAUGAAGAGUCUGGUCGGGGGAGAAAGAAUGUUGUCAUUGAUCAUCUGGUAAAUGGAAAGUCUAGGAAAGAAGCCUCAAGGAUGUUCUUCGAGACCUUGGUCCUGUCGACGAAGGACUACAUUCAAGUGGAGCAACCAAUUCCCUUUGGUUUAAUAAACGUGAAGCCAGUGUCCAAGCUCCUGAAGACAGAUUUCUAGACCGAGACCGCCCUAGCAAAAGUGGCAUGAUAUACAUACAUCUUACAAUAUCUGUCACAGCAACGUCAACAACAUACAGAUUGCCUUCAUCUUCAUCGCCGUCGUCAUGACUUGCCCCCCGUUUUUCGUUGUUUGUUGUUAAAUUUAUCCCCCUCCGUAGUAGUAUGGUGUCCCCCCGCACUAAUCUGUGCCUAGCAGAGCUGAAGUAGUAGGGCUGUGUUGUUGUGCUCCAUCCAUCCAUGUCAGUGUACAUAUAUGAUUAGCCCGUGUAAAGUUAAGUUUCAUAUGUCGUGUAAUGUGGUAGUGUCGUUGGCUCAGAAGUUAUUGACUGCCUGUCGUUUCCUUGAACAGUCCUUGGGAACUGUAUGCAUCUGGAUCUGUUGGACUGCUUGUAUUUGGAAGUUUUCCUCAAGUUUCAGUACUGAUGAAUUUUACUGUCUUGAUACAAUUUGGCAAGAACUUUCUCUG